CCUGAAUCUCCAGCUCCUGGUGUCUGUGUGCCAGCUGCUCACUCAGAGUGUGCUGCUGGCUGCUCGCCUUGGAAGAGCGAGGAAAGGAAGGCUGGUGACUAGAGGAGGCAGGUGGGAGGGUCUGCGAGGAUGCAACAUCUGGUGGAGUCACAUCUGGAGCCCCAGUCCUCAGAUUGGAAGCUCCUCAGAACCUUCUACUUGCACGGAGGACAGGACUCCUUCUCCUCUCUGCCUGCUCACCAGUCCAUGUCUGUAUACAUCAUUGGGUCUCAUUACCUAGGUCUCCUUAAAAUGGAGAGCUGCUCGCAAAUGGAUGUUGAAACGUGUUUCACAAAUUAAUCUGAAAUUUUCCUUUUUUUGUCAAAAACAAACAACAAAAAUGAUUUUUUUUGUUUUGUUUUUUGAAACAGGAAGCUGAGGUUUUGGUGUUGGAGGUUUUUUUCCCUUUCUCUCCCCUUUUUCCCCAUAUGGGGGGAGGGGAAAAAAAGGAGAGAAGGGGAAAGAAAGAAAUCAAAAGCCCAAAAGCUGAAACAAUUGGAUUUUGUUGGUUAAAAACCCAGAAAAUUAAUAAAAGAAAACAAAACUU